rnacentral:lncRNA from 1 species
UCCUGUUCCUGGACAGCCUCCACAAGAAGGCAGGCGGCAGAUCCAGAGGCGGCCUGCACCCCAGGGGGACACCACCCACCACACAGGAGCCACCUGGAGGCAGCAGGCCUGAGGGGAGAGCCACGGAGGAGCAGGCUGCGGCAGCACACCUAGGGGAGUACGUGCUCAUGAUCCGCGACGUGACCACCCCGCCGUUCCUGGGGCGCAGGCUGCCCCCCGCCUUCAAACACCUGCGGGUCGUAGCGAAGAGGGCUGGCCAGCCACCCCAUGUCCUGGAAGAAGGCCCUGAAGCCUCAAGCAGCUGGCAGGCCGCCCACAGCUGCACCCCAGAGCCGCCAGCGCCUCGGUGAGGCCCCGUGUCCACAGGAGGCCACCUCGGUGUGAAUGGAAGGAAACGCUGCCUCUGCUUGCGGAACUCUGCUCCCCGAUUCUCCAGAGCCCCGUGGUUGCUGGCUUGAAUAAAAUGCUCAGUGGCGGCUAUGGAGGGCACUGCUCCUUGGGCCCCACACCAGCAGCAAGGCCCUCCCCAUGCAACCGCACACUCACAGGCG